GACGAAGGGGGCUAGCGUUGUUCGGAAUUACUGGGCGUAAAGGGCGCGUAGGCGGUCUUGUUAGUCAGGCGUGAAAGCCCUGGGCUUAACCUGGGAGGUGCGCUUGAUACUGCAAGGCUUGAGUGCAGGAGAGGAUGGUGGAAUUCCCAGUGUAGAGGUGAAAUUCGUAGAUAUUGGGAAGAACACCGGUGGCGAAGGCGGCCAUCUGGACUGCAACUGACGCUGAGGCGCGAAAGCGUGGGGAGCAAACAGG
rnacentral:rRNA from 1 species